UUGGACUUCAGGGGUACUUGAAGGUUCAGCUGGGGCCUCCUGUGGGCUUACAGAAUUUCCAGCUUCCUUAAGGAUCUCUGGAGGCUGAGAUAGAG